GACGAAGAAGGCCGGAAGGUUGUAAAGUUCUUUUGUUGGUGAAGAAUAAGCACAAGAGGGAAUGCUUGAGUGAUGACGUUAGCCAAGGAAUAAGCCCCGGCUAAUUACGUGCCAGCAGCCGCGGUAACACGUAAGGGGCGAGCGUUGUUCGGAAUUAUUGGGCGUAAAGGGCGCGUAGGCGGCCCAUCAAGUCUGGUGUAAAAGGAUACGGCUUAACCGUAGUCAUGCGCUGGAAACUGAUGAGCUAGAGUUCUAGAGGGGGAGCUGGAAUUCCUGGUGUAGGGGUGAAAUCUGUAGAUAUCAGGAAGAACACCGGUGGCGAAGGCGAGCUCCUGGCUGGAUACUGACGCUAAGGCGCGAAAGCGUGGGGAGCGAACAGGAUUAGAUACCCUGGUAGUCCACGCUGUAAACGAUGUGCACUAGGUGUCUGUCUGUCGAGGAUGGGUACCGCAGCUAACGCGUUAAGUGCACCGCCUGGGGAGUAUGCUCGCAAGGGUGAAACUCAAAGGAAUUGACGGGGGCCCGCACAAGCGGUGGAGCAUGUGGUUUAAUUCGAUGAUACGCGAGGAACCUUACCAGGGCUUGACAUAUGCUGGGAGGCGCGUGAGAGCGCGCUGCCUCUUUGAGGCCGGUAUACAGGUGCUGCAUGGUUGUCGUCAGCUCGUGCUGUGAAGUGUUGGGUUAAGUCCCGCAACGAGCGCAACCCCUGCUGUCUGUCGCUAACAGGUAACGCUGAGGACUCAGACGGUACUGCCGGUGACAAACCGGAGGAAGGUGGGGACGACGUCAAAUCAUCAUGGCCCUUAUGUCCUGGGCUACACACGUGCUACAAUGGCCGGUACAGAGUGACGCGAAACCGCGAGGUGGAGCAAAUCACAAAAAGCCGGUCUCAGUACGGAUUGGAGUCUGAAACCCGACUUCAUGAAGGUGGAAUCGCUAGUAAUCGCGCAUCAGCAUGGCGCGGUGAAUACGUUCCCGGGCCUUGUACACACCGCCCGUCACACCACCCGAGUUGGGGGUACCCGAAGUCGCUAGUCUAACCUGAAUAAGGAGGACGGUGCCGAAGGUAUGCCUGGUAAGGGGGGUG
rnacentral:rRNA from 1 species